GCUUGGCCCUAAACCUCAGUAGUUAGAUAACAAAACUACUCGCCAAAAUACUACGAGCUACAGCUUAAAACUCAAAGGACUUGACGGUGCUUUACACCCCCUAGAGGAGCCUGUUCCGUAAUCGAUAAACCCCGAUCCACCCCACCCUCUCUUGCUCAGCCUAUAUACCGCCAUCUUCAGCAAACCCCAAUGAAGGUCACAAAGUGAGCGCAAACGCCACCACCGCGAAUACGUUAGGUCAAGGUGUAGCCUAUGAGAUGGUAAAAAAUGGGCUACAUUUUCUACCUCAGAAAAUUCCACGAAAGCCCUUAUGAAAUUUAAGGACCCAAGGAGGAUUUAGCAGUAAAUUAAGAAUAGAGUGCUUAAUUGAACUAGGCCAUAAAGCGCGC
rnacentral:rRNA from 1 species